AGUGGGCAGACACAAGAGCGGGUACAACACAAUGAGAUUUAUACCACCAUGGAGAAACAGAAAAUGCCCUAAAAACAACAGAGGACGGCGACAGAAGCAAAACCUAGGUCAUUUUACUUCAGAUACAUCAUCCAGAAUGGUUUAAACUGAUGACUUUUAUAUGUACACUAACCAUGUGAUGUACAUUUAUUAUGUCUUUUUUUAAAGAAUGGAAAUAUUUAUUUCAGAGGCCUUAUUUUUGGACAUUUUUAGUGUAGUACUGUUGGCUCGUAUUUAGAAUAUUCAGCUACAACAGUUUUGGACUGUUUAGUAGUCUUUGUUUUAUGUUUUUAAAUACAGAAAUUGAUUUCACAAAUUUAUACCACAUGGUAAUUCUAAGACUUGUUCUUUACCCAUGGAAUGUAAUAUUUUUGCAAAGAUGGACCACUUCACAAAUGGUUAUAAAGUCAUACCCACUUCUUCCACAAUGACCACAACAAAUGACCAAGCAUGAACUAAAGGUAAAGAUGUUUACAGAUUACUUUUCUUACAAAAAAAAAAGAUAAAAAAAUCUAGAAGACACUGUGUUUAAAUAGACAUUUAAAUGUUUUUGAGAUUUAGUAACUGAUUUUUUAGACACUGCCUAUCGCAUGAACUGUAAAGUUGUGUGUGUUAGAUGUAAAAUAUUUGUAAGUUGUAUGGAUUGGAAUUUGAUUAUUCCUCUCUUUGAAAAAAUAAUUCUGAUAAUUCGGAAAAGUAUCUGGUAGCAAAGAUGGAACAGAUCACUGGAAAGUAGAUUUUUAGAUAUUGUGAAAAUAGUCUGUUUAACAAACAGAUUGGAAUAAAGCCUUCUCUAUCAGUUAAACUACCUUGAUACACAUUCAUUUUUAAGAAAAUAUUUGUUUUAACAUAAAUAAACAAAGUGUAUCCGUGUUUGUGAAUAAAAUGCAAAAAUGAUUGUUAAUGAUUGGUGCUCUUAAGGUGAGCUUAAAAAUUAUCUAAGACCUCUAUCCAAAUUUGUCCUGUAGUAAUAGCUGUAUUAAUAGGUUGUUGGUGUUUAAAGAUCUGAAGUGUGAGUAGAAUGUAUUCAGCUGUUUAACUUGUAGUUUAGAUAUAUGCAUGUAGAAUUUAAGAAUAUGUUCAAAAUUAAAUAUUAAUUUUAAUAUUUGGUUUGGAAAAGCAUGUUAUAAUAUAAUGUUUUCACUAUA